UACGUAGGUGGCAAGCGUUGUCCGGAUUUACUGGGCGUAAAGAGCGCGCAGGCGGUCGAUCAAGUCGCGUGUGAAAGCCCCGGCUCAACUGGGGAGGGUCACGCGAUACUGAUCGACUCGAAGGCAGGAGAGGGUAGUGGAAUUCCCGGUGUAGUGGUGAAAUGCGUAGAUAUCGGGAGGAACACCAGUGGCGAAGGCGACUACCUGGCCUGUUCUUGACGCUGAGGCGCGAAAGCUAGGGGAGCAACGGG
rnacentral:rRNA from 1 species